rnacentral:lncRNA from 1 species
AGGUCCGAGAUGUGAUCCUAUUGAACUCGAUGAGAACAAUAAGGAUCUGAUCACCUACAUGGAUACCAUGUAGAGUUCUAACUCUGAUUAGUGGCUUGGAGCCAUAAAGUCUGAAAUGGAGUCCAUGAAGGUCAAUGGUGUAUGGACACUCAUUGAUCCACUCGAAAGAGUAAAGCCCAUAGAGUGUAAGUAGAUCUCCAA